UUGGAGGGCAAGUCUGGUGCCAGCAGCCGCGGUAAUUCCAGCUCCAAUAGCGUAUAUUAAAGUUGUUGCAGUUAAAAAGCUCGUAGUUGAAUUUCGGGAUUGACGUGAUGGUCAUGCCUUAAGGGGUAUGAACUGUUGCUGUUGAUUUCUCACCUUCUGGAGAAACUUGACGUCCUUAAUUGGGUGUCUUGCGGAUCCAGGACCUUUACCUUGAAAAAAUUAGAGUGUUUAAAGCAGGCAUUUUUGCUCGAAUACAUUAGCAUGGAAUAAUAGAAUAGGACGGCAUGGUUCUAUUUUGUUGGUUUCUAGGAUCACCGUAAUGAUUAAUAGGGAUAGUUGGGGGCAUUAGUAUUCAAUUGUCAGAGGUGAAAUUCUUGGAUUUACUGAAGACUAACUACUGCGAAAGCAUUUGCCAAGGAUGCUUUCAUUAAUCAAGAACGAAAGUUAGGGGAUCGAAGACGAUCAGAUACCGUCGUAGUCUUAACCAUAAACUAUGCCGACUAGGAAUCAGACGAUGUUAAUUUUUUAAUGACUCGUUUGGCACCUUACGGGAAACCAAAGUGUUUGGGUUC
rnacentral:rRNA from 1 species